GCCGUUCCCAUGGCGACCGGGGGCGCGCAGGAGCCGCGCGCGGGCCGGACGGAGACGGCGGGAGAGCGGCGGGUUCCGGACACCCUGCGGGAGCUGCGGGAGCUGCUGGAGCUCCGGCAGCGGCAGCUGCGGUCCCGCAUCGCCGCCUGCGAGGAGCUGACGGCGGCCAUGGCCGCGCUGCGGGCCGCGCUGUGCCCCGGGAGCCCCGAGGAGCCCCGGGAGCCCUGAGGGGAGCCCUGAGGAGCCCCGGGAGCGAGGCUCGGCCCUGCGGAAGGGCCCGGGGCGUUCGGGGCUCCAGGUCCGCCAGGACGGGCCGGGGGAAGGAGCGCAGGGAGCGGUGACGGCUCCCCCGCCCUGGCCUUGGAGCUCGCUCGGUGUCGCCGCGCUCGUGCCUUAUCGCAUUAAAUAAAAUAAAGCGAGACGAGCUUGGUCUGUA